UACGUAGGAUGCAAGCGUUGUCCGGAUUUACUGGGCGUAAAGCGCGCGCAGGCGGCCCUCUAAGUACGUCGUGAAAUAUCCCGGCUCAACCGGGAGGGUGCGAUGUAGACUAGGGAGCUAGAGGUCGGUAGAGGGGGGUGGAAUUGCUGGUGUAGCGGUGAAAUGCGUAGAGAUCAGCAGGAACACCCGUGGCGAAGGCGGCCCCCUGGGCCGUACCUGACGCUGAGGCGCGAAGGCUAGGGGAGCGAACGGG
rnacentral:rRNA from 1 species